UACGUAGGGUGCGAGCGUUAAUCGGAAUUACUGGGCGUAAAGCGUGCGCAGGCGGUUCGUUGUGUCGGUGGUGAAAGCCCCGGGCUUAACCUGGGAAUGGCCAUGGAAACUGGCGAACUGGAGUGUGGCAGAGGGGGGGUGGAAUUCCGCGUGUAGCAGUGAAAUGCGUAGAGAUGCGGAGGAACACCGAUGGCGAAGGCAGCCCCCCUGGGCUAGCACUGACGCUCAGGCACGAAAAGCGUGGGGGAGCAAAACAGG
rnacentral:rRNA from 1 species